GCAUUUAAGAAGCGCGGAUAUUUUUUUGGUGACCGUAAACUCAAAUAUUAAAUGAAUUUAUAUUUAUUAUUAGAUAUCUAAAAUAUUUAAAAGCUGUUCUAUUAUUAUUAUUUCAGUCCGGUACAAUAUUUUCAUUGAGUUUUCAUAUCUGAAUCAGACUUGUGGUCCAACCGUAAGAUCUAGUAACUCAUAUAUAGUGGGAUAGAAUAUAAUAAAAUGAAUAUAGUAAAAGUAUCUGAAAAUCAAAAAGACCGUUAUAAACCCACUGAGAAAAAUAUAAUUUGUUUUUUGAUUUAUAAAUUUUUGAUAUAUUAAUAUACAUUUGACUUGUAUAAGAAAUUUCUUUUAACAAAUAUUGUUAAGUUUAUUUAUAAAUAUAUUAAUUAUCAAUCUACCAAAAUAGUGAAGCAAGUAUUAUUUUUUUUCCUUUUUUUUAAUUUUCUAUCAAACUAUUAUCAAUUUUUUUUAAAUAAAAAAAUCAGUUUGUGACAGAUAUUUUAUUAUUAGAAAUCCAUACAAUUUAAAUAAUGUUACAUUUAUAUGUAUUUAUGUAUAAAAUGGUCUUCAUAAUUUGGGAUUUUGUAAAAAAUUGGUCUAAAGUUAAUUUGGUUAAUUUUUUUUUUUUGUAACAAAAGUUAAUUGGAUUUAUAAUUUUCUUUUCUGAAUGGGUUGUAUCAGUUAAAUUAUUUUUUUAAGUUAAACGCCCAAAUCUCAAUUAAUAAUAUUUAUUUUGCUGAUAACAAAGUGAGAUUAAAUAGGGAUAACAUAUAAUAUAUAAG
rnacentral:lncRNA from 1 species